rnacentral:rRNA from 1 species
UACGGGGGGGGGCAAGCGGUUGUUCGGAAUUACUGGGCGUAAAGGGCUCGUAGGCGGCCAACUAAGUCAGACGUGAAAUCCCUCGACUUAACCGGGGAACUGCGUCUGAUACUGGGAUGGCUUGAGAUUGGGAGAGGGAUGCGGAAUUCCAGGUGUAGCGGUGAAAUGCGUAGAUAUCUGGAGGAACACCGGUGGCGAAGGCGGCAUUCUGGACCACAACUGACACUGAGAGACGAAAGCCAGGGGAGCAAACGGGG